ACAGAUCGUUCAGAGUUUGAUCCUGGCUCAGGAUGAACGCUAGCUACAGGCUUAACACAUGCAAGUCGAGGGGCAGCGCAGUGUAGCAAUACAUGGGCGGCGACCGGCGCACGGGUGCGUAACGCGUAUCCAACCUUCCCGUUACUCAGGGAUAGCCUUCCGAAAGGGAGAUUAAUACCUGAUGGUGUUGAAAUUCCGCAUGUUAUUUCAACUAAAGAUUUAUCGGUAACGGAUGGGGAUGCGUGACAUUAGAUAGUAGGCGGGGUAACGGCCCACCUAGUCUACGAUGUCUAGGGGUUCUGAGAGGAAGAUCCCCCACACUGGAACUGAGACACGGUCCAG
rnacentral:rRNA from 1 species